rnacentral:rRNA from 1 species
GAUGAACGCUGGCGGCGUGCCUAAUACAUGCCAGUCGAGCGAACGGACGAGAAGCUUGCUUCUCUGAUGUUAGCGGCGGACGGGUGAGUAACACGUGGAUAACCUACCUAUAAGACUGGGAUAACUUCGGGAAACCGUAGCUAAUACCGGAUAAUAUUUUGAACCGCAUGGUUCAAAAGUGAAAGACGGUCUUGCUGUCACUUAUAGAUGGAUCCGCGCUGCAUUAGCUAGUUGGUAAGGUAACGGCUUACCAAGGCAACGAUGCAUAGCCGACCUGAGAGGGUGAUCGGCCACACUGGAACUGAGACACGGUCCAGACUCCCACGGGAGGCAGCAGUAGGGAAUCUUCCGCAAUGGGCGAAAGCCUGACGGAGCAACGCCGCGUGAGUGAUGAAGGUCUUCGGAUCGUAAAACUCUGUUAUUAGGGAAGAACAUAUGUGUAAGUAACUGUGCACAUCUUGACGGUACCUAAUCAGAAAGCCACGGCUAACUACGUG